rnacentral:rRNA from 2 species
UCGAGUGGCGACGGGUGAGUAACACGUGGGUGAUCUGCCCUGCACUUCGGGAUAAGCCUGGGAAACUGGGUCUAAUACCGGAUAGGACCACUUCUUGGAUGGUGUGGUGGAAAGUUUUUUCGGUGUGGGAUGAGCUCGCGGCCUAUCAGCUUGUUGGUGGGGUAAUGGCCUACCAAGGCGUCGACGGGUAGCCGGCCUGAGAGGGUGUACGGCCACAUUGGGACUGAGAUACGGCCCAGACUCCUACGGGAGGCAGCAGUGGGGAAUAUUGCACAAUGGGCGCAAGCCUGAUGCAGCGACGCCGCGUGGGGGAUGACGGCCUUCGGGUUGUAAACUCCUUUCGCUAGGGACGAAGCGU